UCAUAAGUUCAUUUUCUCUUCGUUUCAUUCCAAGCUUAGACUUCAUUUUCGAAUCAUCCCUGUCAUCUUCAUUUUCACGCACAAUCUUACGAGCAAACGCCUGAUGCCGUCGACGUGCGCCAUCGCCUCCACGCCAUCGACUCCAUCUCCUCCACGCCGUUGAUGCCAUCGUCUCCCACACACCGUGAACGAAAGACACUGUUCUAAGGUGGCACUUCUUGCUGCUUGUGUACACAGGGGUUUCAAGGUUCUAUCCGCCUCAGGGGCUGGUGCUAAAACAACGUUAUUGCUUACAAGUUGAAACUUUCUGAUAAUUGAGUGUCGUAAUAGAAGAGGUGUAUCGCAGUGCAAUAAGAAUGUUACGGCUGAUUUCAAUGGUGUUGAGGGAUGCUCUAUUUCUAGAAAGAAAAAUGAUAGGGUGGUUAACGAAGAUCUUCUGAAAGAUGAGAUUGUUUGAGAACAGCUAACUUGG